rnacentral:rRNA from 1 species
GACGGAGGAUGCAAGUGUUAUCCGGAAUCACUGGGCGUAAAGCGUCUGUAGGUGGUUUAGUAAGUCGACUGUUAAAUCUUGAAGCUUAACUUCAAAACUGCAUUCGAAACUAUUAGACUAGAGUAUAGUAAGGGUAAAGGGAAUUUCCAGUGGAGCGGUGAAAUGCGUAGAUAUUGGAAAGAACACCAAUGGCGAAGGCACUUUACUGGGCUAUUACUGACACUCAGAGACGAAAGCUAGGGUAGCAAAUGGGAUUAGAUACCCCAGUAGUCCUAGCUGUAAACAAUGGAUACUAGAUGUUGAACAGUCGCUGCAGUAUUAAAGCUAACGCGUUAAGUAUCCCGCCUGGGAAGUAUGCUCGCAAGAGUG